UACGAAGGGGGCUAGCGUUGCUCGGAAUUACUGGGCGUAAAGGGCGCGUAGGCGGAUAGUUUAGUCAGAGGUGAAAGCCCAGGGCUCAACCUUGGAAUUGCCUUUGAUACUGGCUGUCUUGAGUACGGGAGAGGUGAGUGGAACUCCGAGUGUAGAGGUGAAAUUCGUAGAUAUUCGCAAGAACACCAGUGGCGAAGGCGGCUCACUGGCCCGAUACUGACGCUGAGACACGAAGGCCAGGGGAGCAAACGGG
rnacentral:rRNA from 1 species